GGUUGUGGCUCAGUGGUAGAGUGCUUGCCUAGCAUGCGUGAGGCCCUGGGUUCGAUCCCUGGCACCA
rnacentral:tRNA from 1 species